rnacentral:lncRNA from 1 species
CUAUCACAUACCUGGUCACUUAGCCUGAUUUAUACAUUCGUACACAACUUAUCUUUGCCCGGUGAACCAUUCGAAAUUAAAAAGGAUACUCGGAUAGUCGAAAGACUCGUACAAUGCCAACGUCCCAGACGUGGUCUUACAUGUAAUCACAUAUCGAUGCCAUUGUCCCAGACAGGGUCUUACACGAAUCAAAUACGAUGCCAAUGUCCCAAACAUGGUCUUACACGUAAACACAAGUCGAUGCCGACAUCCCAGACGUG